GUAAGUAAUCUACCCUCGAGUGGGGAAUAACGUUCGGAAACGGACGCUAAUACCGCAUAACGCAGCGGCACCGCAAGGUGACAGUUGUUAAAGGAGCAAUCCGCUUGAGGAGGAGCUUGCGGCAGAUUAGCUAGUUGGUAGGGUAAUGGCUUACCAAGGCUACGAUCUGUAUCCGGUCUAAGAGGACGGUCGGACACACUGACACUGAAUAACGGGUCAGACUCCUACGGGAGGCAGCAGUCGGGAAUUUUGGGCAAUGGGCGAAAGCCUGACCCAGCAACGCCGCGUGAAGGAUGAAGUAUUUCGGUAUGUAAACUUCGAAAGAAUAGGAAGAAUAAAUGACGGUACUAUUUAUAAGCUCCGGCUAACUACGUGCCAGCAGCCGCGGUAAUACGUAGGGAGCAAGCGUUGUUCGGAUUUACUGGGCGUAAAGGGCGCGUAGGCGGCGCGGUAAGUCACUUGUGAAAUCUCUGAGCUUAACUCAGAACGGCCAAGUGAUACUGCAGUGCUAGAGUGCAGAAAGGGCAAUCGGAAUUCUUGGUGUAGCGGUGAAAUGCGUAGAUAUCAAGAGGAACACCUGAGGCGAAGGCGGGUUGCUAAGCUGACACUGACGCUGAGGCGCGAAAGCCAGGGGAGCAAACGGGAUUAGAUACCCCGGUAGUCCUGGCCCUAAACGAUGGAAUACUUGGUGUCUGGAGUUUCAAUACUCCGGGUGCCGUCGCUAACGUUUUAAGUAUUCCGCCUGGGGAGUACGCUCGCAAGAAGUGAAACUCAAAGGAAUGACGGGGACCCGCA
rnacentral:rRNA from 1 species